AUUGAACGCUGGCGGCAUGCCUUACACAUGCAAGUCGAACGGCAGCACGGGAGCAAUCCUGGUGGCGAGUGGCGAACGGGUGAGUAACGUAUCGGAACGUACCAUUCAGUGGGGGAUAACGUAGCGAAAGUUACGCUAAUACCGCAUAUUCUGUGAGCAGGAAAGCAGGGGAUCGCAAGACCUUGCGCUGCAUGAGCGGCCGAUAUCAGAUUAGGUAGUUGGUGAGGUAAAGGCUCACCAAGGCGACGAUCUGUAGCGGGUCUGAGAGGGUGAGCCGGCACGCUGGAGCUGAGACACGGUCCAGACGACUACGGGAGGCAGCAGUGGGGAAUUUUGGACAAUGGGCGCAAGCCUGAUCCAGCCAUGCCGCGUGAGUGAAGAAGGGCUUCGGGUUGUAAAGCACUUUCGGCUGGGAAGAAAUCGCAUGGGUUAAUACCCUGUGCGGAUGACGGUACCGGCAUAAGAAGCACCGGCUAACUACGUGCCAGCCGCCGCAGUAAAAC
rnacentral:rRNA from 1 species